AUAUACGUGCUGCACAAGGUGGAAAAACAUGUCCACAUAGAUAUUUUAAUAUUUUUCGCUCCACCAUUUAAUAAAAUAUAUUUCCCUAAUAUCAAAAUUCUAGGGUGUUCUCUCACUUAAACUUAAUCCAUUUCUCUCUCAAAUGGCUCUCUCACUUCUCACUAUCUGGUAAAGAGGGUUUUGAUAGUAUUGGGUUCUUCGAUAUGUUAUCUCAGUGGGUUUGCUAAUUUUUCCGUAAUCAAGAAUUCUUGUUCGCUUUUGGUUUCGAUUGGUGUUUGUUUGGGUCUGUUUCAACCGACGAACAUCGAAAGCUUGCAUUUAAUCUCUGUUACAAGGAAGAUUGUUGUCUAAAAUUCCAAUUAGGGUAAUUUAUGGCUUUAAAAUAUUUUAACUUAUGGUGAGUGAGGUGGGGCAUGUCUAUAUUGGGGGUGGGACAGAAUAUAUUUUCAAUGUUGAUGAGGAUCAUUUGUCAAUUCCUGAACUGGCAGAUUAAGCUAGGAGUUUUGGAAUUACUAAGUUAAAAAAAGACCUUUGUGGUUCCAUAAAGGGGGAUAAUUUGGUUGAACUAAAAAUGAUAGGGACGUACAUGAUCUUUCACUAUUAUUGUCUGAUGGGUCAUAAUAGACAUUUAUGUAGGUGAAGACUCAAUUAUAGAGGAAGGGGGUCUUACUGGUAUGUCUGGUAGUCAAUUAACAAGUAUAGAUACCAAUUUGAGUAUAAUGGGUGAGCCUUUUAAUGCACCUAUCAGCAUUGAAAGAGGCAUCAGGGAAUCUGAUUCUCUUCUUGCUCCAUCUACCGCUGCUUUAAAUGUUGGAGUUGGGGAACAAGAUGUAGAUAAAGCUGCAAAUGUGAAUGAAGAUGGAUAUUCUUUAAUAGACUAGACAGAUAUAGAUGAAGAAGAAGCUGCACAAGACCCAGCUAAUGUAGAACAAACUGUAGGAAGUGAAGAUCCAACUAUUGUAAUACAAUGUGUAGGAAGUGAAAAAGACUCUGAAUAAGAUAUUGCAGGAAAUUAUGAUGCUUAAUCUGACUAGUCUAUAGACUAUGAAAAUGAUGUGCAUGAGGAGUUAAGGAUUAUGAAAGCAAUAUGUGAAGCAAUUCAAGAAAAAAAAUAGGAGGAGCAGAAAAGGUGAGAAGGAAAAGGUAGUGGUUAUCUAGUGAAGUGGGGCUGGAUGAAAGUUUUGAAGAUAUAGAUCAAGAGAGGAGAAGUUUGAAUGGUAAAUUACUAGGAGAUGAGUCAUACUAUGACAAUUCUGAUUAUGAUUCCUUUAAUUCUGAUGAAGAGCCUGAACCUGUAUUUGAUGAUGAAGGUGAAAGAGGACAGUUAAGUGCUAGAAGAAAGACUAACAAGGUGAUUUAUGAUCCAACAUGCAAGGUUGUGAUUUGGCAGUUGGGUUUGGUAUUUGAAAAUGUGGUUGAAUUUAGGACAAUAUUAACAAAUUAUGCUUUAAAGAAGGGAGUUGAGUUAUACAAGUAUGUGAAUGAGCCUAUUAGAGUAAGGGUUAUAUGUAAAGGUGGUUGGCCAUAGUUCAUAUUUGCUAGCAAGGAAGGAAGAAGUGAAAACUUCACAGUGAAGACCAAUAAUUCAAGACACAAAUAUCAUAGGACCAAAGCCAACUUUCUUUGUAACUCAAAAUAUCUAGCAGUGUAUCUUAAAGACAUUCAUAUGGGAGAUGGUUCUUAGACCACUAUCAUUAGUGACAUGCAAAAGCUAAGUCUUUAUCGCCUAUAGUUUUAUAUUAAAUUUGUAUUUUAUUACUGUUAUUUAGGUUUCCAACUACAUGUUCUUUGUCCUUGAAUAAUAGGGAUUGAUAUCUUCAGUUGAUGAAAUACUACCUGAUUGUGCGCAUAGGAUGUGUGUUAGGCACAUUUUAGCAAAUUGGCGCAGAAAUGGAGAGGGAUAGAAAGAAGAAAAAGAUUCUGGGGUUGUGUUAGGGCUACUCAUGAGGCAGAUCUUAAGAGAAAGCUAGAUGGUCUAGCUCAGUUAGGGAAUAGGAUUGUUGAAGACUUAAUCAGAUACAAUAAGAAAAGAUGGUGCAAAACAUACUUUCAAACCUUCUUCAAAUAUGAUAGUGUAGACAAUAAUAUGGCAGAAAACUUUAAUGCUUGGAUCUUAGGUCAUGGGAACAAGACUAUUAUUACAAUGUUGGAAGAAAUUAAAGUUAAUGUGAUGAUUAGGGUGAGUAAGUCCAGGGCAUUUGCUAAGACAUGGGUGAAUGAGAUAUCUCCAAUGGCAAUGAUGGUGUUCAAUAUCAAUACGGAGAAAUCAAUAUAGGUCACAAUAGAUUGGAAUGGAGAUAAAGGAUUUGAAGUGUCAAAAGAAGUAAACAAAAAAUAUAUUGUACACUUAGAAGCUGAAAAGUGUAGUUGUAGAGCAUGAGAUUUAAAAGGGAUCCCAUGUGCACAUGUUAUAGAAGCAAUGCAUUAUAUGAGACAAGAUGCAUCAGAGGGAAUCUCAAGUUGGUACAACAAAGAGACAUACCUCAAGGCAUAUUGACACUUCAUUCAACAUGUGUCAUACAUGGCAAUGUGGCCAAAAACUAAUAGUCCAAACAUUGAUUUUCCUAAAUUGGUGAAAAUGUCUGGAAGGCCAAAAGGAACAGGAAAAAGAGUUUGGAGAAAUAAAAAGAGUUGGAAAGUUAACAAAAAGAGGCAUAACUAUAACCUGCUCAAUCUGCAAGGAAGUCAAUCGUAACAAGAGGAGUUGUCCAAAGAAUUCCAAUCCUAAAAUAAAGGCUAAAACUACACCAGAGUUUGCUGAAUCACAACAAUCUUCAACUGUAAAUCCAAAGAAGAGAAAUAGAGGUGAUUCUGAAAUGCCAAGUACAAGCAAUAAAAGUAAAUUUAAAGCAGCCAGAAGUGGUUACAAGAAACCAAGUGUUUGUGGUACAUAGUCUAUUUGUUUUACAAAGUGGAUAUACUAGUGUUAAUCAAGGGCUGCCUGAUAGCAGAACAGUUAAAACAUCAUCUACUACUGUGAUCAAUUCAGCACAUGUGACUGGUGACAUUGGUUACCAACCAACCAAAUGGCUUAAAUGGAAAGGCAAGACAUCUAUAACUCAAACAAAACUCCAAGUUCAAAGUGCUAUGCAUUGCAUCACUACUAGAUAAGGGCAGUUGGAAUUCAAAUAAGGGCAAAGUCAAGGAAAAAUCUCCCUCCAAGAUCCCAUCUUAAAUAUGUUUUUUGUUGGCAGUCUAACUUUUAUUGUAGUGUCUUUAAAAUUGGAAGUUGUUUAUGUGUUUUGGAAUGUAUUUAAAGCAGCAAUUGUUGGAGGUAGUGGACGUUUAUGGUAGUUAUAGUUUUUUGUUAAAACAUUUACUCACUAUAUUGUUGCACUGUGAAUGCAGAUGAACAAGUAACACUUAUUUGUUAAUGAAUUACAGUUAUUUUGAGUCAUGAUUCA